rnacentral:rRNA from 2 species
UGGGGAAUAUUGCACAAUGGGGGAAACCCUGAUGCAGCAACGCCGCGUGGAGGAAGAAGGUUUUCGGAUUGUAAACUCCUGUCUUUUGGGACGAUAAUGACGGUACCAAAGGAGGAAGCCACGGCUAACUACGUGCCAGCAGCCGCGGUAAUACGUAGGUGGCGAGCGUUGUCCGGAAUUGCUGGGCGUAAAGGGCGCGUAGGCGGCCUGAUAAGUCAGAUGUGAAACCCCCAGGCUCAACUUGGGGCAUGCAUUUGAAACUGUCGGGCUCGAGUGUCGGAGAGGGAAGCGGAAUUCCUAGUGUAGCGGUGAAAUGCGUAGAUAUUAGGAGGAACACCAGUGGCGAAGGCGGCUUUCUGGACGAUAACUGACGCUGAGGCGCGAAAGCGUGGGGAGCAAACAGG